GGGGACGGUUGUCGGGAUAUUAGGGCGUAAGGGCUCGCAGGCGGUUUCUUAAGUCUGAUGUGAAAGCCCCCGGCUCAACCGGGGAGGGUCAUUGGAAACUGGGAAACUUGAGUGCAGAAGAGGAGAGUGGAAUUCCACGUGUAGCGGUGAAAUGCGUAGAGAUGUGGAGGAACACCAGUGGCGAAGGCGACUCUCUGGUCUGUAACUGACGCUGAGGAGCGAAAGCGUGGGGAGCGAACAGGAUUAGAUACCCUGGUAGUCCACGCCGUAAACGAUGAGUGCUAAGUGUUAGGGGGUUUCCGCCCCUUAGUGCUGCAGCUAACGCAUUAAGCACUCCGCCUGGGGAGUACGGUCGCAAGACUGAAACUCAAAGGAAUUGACGGGGGCCCGCACAAGCGGUGGAGCAUGUGGUUUAAUUCGAAGCAACGCGAAGAACCUUACCAGGUCUUGACAUCCUCUGACAACCCUAGAGAUAGGGCUUUCCCUUCGGGGACAGAGUGACAGGUGGUGCAUGGUUGUCGUCAGCUCGUGUCGUGAGAUGUUGGGUUAAGUCCCGCAACGAGCGCAACCCUUGAUCUUAGUUGCCAGCAUUCAGUUGGGCACUCUAAGGUGACUGCCGGUGACAAACCGGAGGAAGGUGGGGAUGACGUCAAAUCAUCAUGCCCCUUAUGACCUGGGCUACACACGUGCUACAAUGGACAGAACAAAGGGCUGCGAGACCGCAAGGUUUAGCCAAUCCCACAAAUCUGUUCUCAGUUCGGAUCGCAGUCUGCAACUCGACUGCGUGAAGCUGGAAUCGCUAGUAAUCGCGGAUCAGCAUGCCCGGGGGAAAUAACGUUCCCCGGGCCUUGUACACACCCGCCCGUCACACCACGAAGAGUUUGCAACACCCGAAGUCGGUGAGGUAACCUUUAUGGAGCCAGCCGCCGAAGGUGGGGCAGAUGAUUGGGGUGAUCUAAAAAAAAACCCCCCCACACAUAUAAAAAAGGCGGAAAAAGG
rnacentral:rRNA from 1 species